GAUGAACGCUGGCGGCGUGCCUAAUACAUGCAAGUCGAGCGAAUGGAUUAAGAGCUUGCUCUUAUGAAGUUAGCGGCGGACGGGUGAGUAACACGUGGGUAACCUGCCCAUAAGACUGGGAUAACUCCGGGAAACCGGGGCUAAUACCGGAUAACAUUUUGAACCGCAUGGUUCGAAAUUGAAAGGCGGCUUCGGCUGUCACUUAUGGAUGGACCCGCGUCGCAUUAGCUAGUUGGUGAGGUAACGGCUCACCAAGGCAACGAUGCGUAGCCGACCUGAGAGGGUGGUCGGCCACACUGGGACUGAAACACGGCCCAGACUCCUACGGGAGGCAGCAGUAGGGAAUCUUCCGCGAUGGACGAAAGUCUGACGGAGCAACGCCGCGUGAGUGAUGAAGGCUUUCGGGUCGUAAAACUCUGUUGUUAGGGAAGAACAAGUGCUAGUUGAAUAAGCUGGCACCUUGACGGUACCUAACCAGAAAGCCACGGCUAACUACGUGCCAGCCGCCGCCGUAA
rnacentral:rRNA from 1 species